rnacentral:rRNA from 1 species
CUGGCUCUUUCAGGGUCCGAGUUGUAAUUUGUAGAAGAUGUUUCGGGUGUGGUUCCGGUCUAAGUUCCUUGGAACAGGACGUCAUAGAGGGUGAGAAUCCCGUAUGUGACCGGUAACUUUCGCUCAUGUGAAACUCUUUCGACGAGUCGAGUUGUUUGGGAAUGCAGCUCAAAAUGGGUGGUAAAUUUCAUCUAAAGCUAAAUAUUGGCCAGAGACCGAUAGCGCACAAGUAGAGUGAUCGAAAGAUGAAAAGCACUUUGGAAAGAGAGUUAAACAGUACGUGAAAUUGUUGAAAGGGAAGCGCUUGCAAUCAGACUUGCGCCUAGUUGAUCAUCUGAGCUUCUGCUCAGUGCACUUGAUUAGGCUCAGGCCAGCAUCAGUUUGGGCGGUUGGAUAAAGACUUAGGGAAUGUGGCCUCUCUCGGGGGGUGUUAUAGCCCUAGGUGCAAUGCAGCCAGCCUGGACUGAGGACCGCGCUUCGGCUAGGAUGCUGGCGUAAUGGUUGUAAGCGACCCGUCUUGAAACACGGACCAAGGAGUCUAACAUUUAUGCGAGUAUUUGGGUGUUAAACCCAUAUGCGUAAUGAAAGUGAACGGAGGUAAGAACCCUUAAGGGUGCAUUAUCGACCGAUCCUGAUGUCUUCGGAUGGAUUUGAGUAAGAGCAUAACUGUUGGGACCCGAAAGAUGGUGAUCUAUACGUGAAUAGGGUGAAGCCAGAGGAAACUCUGGUGGAGGCUCGCAGCGGUUCUGACGUGCAAAUCGAUCGUCAAAUUUGCGUAUAGGGGCGAAAGACUAAUCGAACCAUCUAGUAGUGU